rnacentral:rRNA from 1 species
AAUGUAUAGCAAUAGCUACUUGCAUCAUUGUAAAUAUGAUGCAAGAUCGACUAUGUCGAAUAAAAUUCUAGGUAGAAUUAUGAUAAUGACAUUGUCUGCCUAUGUGUCUUGACCAAAUUACGUGCCAGCAGUCGCGGUAAUACGUAGAAGACUAGUGUUAUUCAUGUUUAAUCGGUUUAAAGGGUACCUAGACGGUAAAUCAAGCCUAAAAAGAAAGAAAUAAAGGGACUAAUUUACUAGAGUUACUUAUGAGGGGGUAUUAAAGUACUGCUGGUGUAGAGAUGAAAUUCUGUCAUACCUCUUUUCAAUAGAAAAAUAACGGCACAGGUAUAGGCGAAGGCAUCCCCUUAUGUGAUAACUGACGUUGAGGGACGAAGGCUUUGUGUAGCGAACAGGAUUAGAUACCCCAGUAGUCAAAGCAGAAAAUGAUGAAUGUCAUAGAUUAGAUGUAUAAGUUUAUUCUAUAAAUGAAAGUGUAAGCAUUCCACCUCAAGAGUAAUUUGGCAACAUUGGAACUGAAAUCAUUAGACCGUUUCUGAAACCAGUAGUGAAGUAUGUUGUUUAAUUUGAUGAUCCGCAAAAAACCUUACCACAAUUUGAAUAUUUAUAUUUUUAUUUAUUGUUUUUUUUUUAAUUUUCUUCUGAUUUUCUGCUUGAGGAAAAAAGAAGAAAAGUAAAAAAAGGCAAUAAGAUAUAUUUACAAGCGUUGCACGGCUGUCUUCAGUUAAUGUCGUGAGACUAUGGUUAGUUCCAUUAAAUUAACGUAAACCCUUACUUUAUUUUUAUAUAGAGUAGUUCCCCGCUAUAUUGGAUAUGAUAACAGG